CAGAUUAGAGCUUGAUUAGAUAAGCAUUUUAUUUACAUUAAAAGGAUGUCGUG
rnacentral:tRNA from 1 species